UUUUUUUUGUGUGUAUGUUAGAACAGGGAUGUAGUAAAAUAUCGUUUUUUUUAUGGACAGAAACAGUUACUAAUAAUAAGUUAGUAAAUUUCUUUGCCCGUUCUCCCAGACAUGAGUACUGAGAAAGUGGGUUAUUAUUUUAAUGAAGAUUGCCGUCUGUUCUUGUCGAAAUUUAAAGACAAGGGCUCCUUACAAUUUGACGCUUUCGCUGCUGUAUGGCAAGAAAUGAAGUUUUCUUUCGUCCUGACACAGUGGAAAUAUUUGGGUGAGAUGCAAGAGAUUGUGGAGGAAUACUUAAAAGUUUGCAAGAGGAUUUGGCUGAAGUCUGAAACAGUGGAGGAACGUGUUUGUGGUCUGUACUUACUGCGAGCAAUUUAUCUUAAACAACCUGCAGCACGGUACAUGAAGAUCAGCCUGUCGCACGAUGAUUGGCAGUGCCUGAAACAUUUUUUGUACUUAAUAAAGGAUUUUCAGCAAAAUGAAACCAGGUAUGUACUACAAGAAUUGUUCGAAUUGAACGCAUUUGUCUUCAGUGUACCCGAUUGUACGCUGGCAGAAGGCAAAGAAGACGUUGGCCGCUUAGAGUCUCUGGGGACUCAGUUUACUAAAGUACAUACGCAAUACAGGAAGAUGUUCUCGGCGUUGGAGCAAGAAAAUAAGGAAUACAAUGAACAGAGAAGAGCGUGCCUGCGAGUUUAUCCGGAACUCAGUUCGUUCUCAAAUGCCGAAACUGAUAGUUUGGUACAACAACUUAUGGAAAGAUUGACGGUGUUCGAAGAUGAAGUCAGCAAAGUAGGGGAUGAUUUUAAUGAAGCGAAUGUGACUGUCAUUGAAGACGUGGAAAGGAGGACAUCGAUGAAAAGAAAGAGGAUUUCAUAUCGGGUGAAAGCGGUUGGUGAUUGCUGCGAAACUGAAGAAAGCAGUGAGAGUGGAGACGAUAGCAAUAUUUUAGAUAUGCCUCAACUUCAUUCCGAAGACAGCGAUGAAGGAGUGGAAGACGAAGAGACGUGUGAUGUUCCUAUCGCCCGUCGCGUGGAUAAAGGUGACGUUCAUAUGAGCGACUUCGAGUUGUCGUCUGUUACUUCGGAGGACGACGGAGGAUCGUCGAAAUGCACUACAGCUACAGGCAGCAGCAAGGAUGGCCCUGCCACUGCAGUGGGUCCGAAACCUGGGGCAGCCAGUAAACCGACGCCUCGGCCACCGGCCGCCCGGCGAGGCAGGCAAUUCGGCCGUCGCUCUGCACGGUAGCCGCCCACGGGGUAAGAGCAAUGGAUCUGCUCUGCCGAUGGACAUAGCCAGCUGACGUCAAGUCAUAGGCGAGUCUAUCUGAUACUUAUCGAUCUUUUGUGCAUGAAAUGUAUGACAGCAAAGUUAGUUCCAAAGUUGAACUUCAACCAAAGAUGACAUUCUGAGACAUCGCUGAGGAAUUGGCGAAUUAAGUUGACAAUGAUCCAGAAUUUCUAAAGAAGGUUAAGAGGGUGACAAAACAUGGUUAUAUGGGUAUGAUGUCGAAGCUGAGAACCAGUGGUAACUGCUUGAAGAGCUAAGACCAAAAGAAGUUCGAAAAGGGUUCUGUACCUUUUGCUGAGAUAGCUGCCCGGCCUAUAGGGUAGCAAGUGAUGAUUCUACUGAGACAGUUCGAUUGGAAGUGCAACAGAGUGACACUAACGAUAUUCUGCACUGUACCAGUGCUGCCUCAUCCUCGGACGAUUCCGUAACGAGUCGACUUCGGGCAGUUAUACAGAUUGCAACUGCUGUCCCAUUCUGGUCUGCUCCCAGUGUUUAGUUCUGUGCUAUUACUGAACAGUAUAAGUAUACUACAGUUGAGUGUUGAUGAUGUAAAGGAAUAAAAAUAACCAGAUGUAACCUUUCACUGGCUUUCUGUGCAUCUUAUCUUGUAUGUCAACAGUACGUGUUGUUUGGUCAGUACACUUUGUAAUAUAUUAAAGGGACUUGUUAUA